CUACGGGCCGCUGCAGUGGGGAAUAUUGCACAAUGGAGGAAACUCUGAUGCAGCAACGCCGCGUGGAGGAUGACACUUUUCGGAGCGUAAACUCCUUUUAUAUAGGAAGAAGAUGACGGUACUAUAUGAAUAAGCGCCGGCUAACUCGCGUGCUAGCAGCCGCGGUAAUACGGAGGGCGCAAGCGUUACUCGGAAUCACUGGGCGUAAAGAGCGUGUAGGCGGAUUAAAAAGUCAGAAGUGAAAUCCUAUAGCUUAACUAUAGAACUGCUUCUGAAACUCUUAAUCUAGAAUAUGGGAGAGGUAGAUGGAAUUUCUGGUGUAGGGGUAAAAUCCGUAGAGAUCAGAAGGAAUACCGAUUGCGAAGGCGAUCUACUAGAACAUUAUUGACGCUGAGACGCGAAAGCGUGGGGAGCAAACAGGAUUAGAUACCCUCGUAGUC
rnacentral:rRNA from 1 species